UGGCGAACGGGUGAGUAAUAUAUCGGAGCGUGCCCAAUAGUGGGGGAUAGCCCGGCGAAAGCCGGAUUAAUACCGCAUGAGACCUGAGGGUGAAAGCGGGGGAUUCGCAAGAACCUCGCGCUAUUGGAGCGGCCGAUAUCAGAUUAGGUAGUUGGUGGGGUAAAAGCCUACCAAGCCGACGAUCUGUAGCUGGUCUGAGAGGACGACCAGCCACACUGGGACUGAGACACGGCCCAGACUCCUACGGGAGGCAGCAGUGGGGAAUUUUGGACAAUGGGCGCAAGCCUGAUCCAGCCAUGCCGCGUGCGGGAAGGAGGCCUUCGGGUUGUAAACCGCUUUUGUCAGGGAAGAGAUCCUUUGAGUUAACACCUCGGAGGGAUGACGGUACCUGAAGAAUAAGCACCGGCUAACUACGUGCCAGCAGCCGCGGUAAUACGUAGGGUGCGAGCGUUAAUCGGAAUUACUGGGCGUAAAGCGUGCGCAGGCGGUCUUGCAAGACAGGUGUGAAAUCCCCGGGCUUAACCUGGGAACUGCAUCCGUGAC
rnacentral:rRNA from 1 species